rnacentral:misc_RNA from 1 species
CAGAGUUCAUGCCCUCACGGGUAGAUCUCCCACCCUUGAAUAACAUACAAUGUUGCUUUGGCGAGCGCUUCGGCGGCCGCCAGAGGACCCUAAACUCUUGUUUACAGUGUCGUCUGAGUACUAUACAAUAGUUA